AUGAGGUAGCAUUUCAGAGACCCAUAAAACUCAACACUGAAAUUGUUUUUAGAGCACACAAUGUAAAGGUAUUUUACUGCAUGCUCAGUGCUGUGCAGCUCCCGCCACUGUUUAAGUCCAGAACACUUUCAUUACCUGAAAAGGAAGCCCUGUACCCACUAAGGCAGUGCCCCCCGCCUCCCUUCCUUCUCACCCUUGACAGCCACCAAUCUGCACUCUGUCUCUAUGGCUCUGUCUGUUCUGGACAUUUUAUAACUGAAAUCAGUUAACAUUUGGCCUUUUGUGUCUAGCUUCUUUCACUAAACAUAAUCUAUCAAGGUUCAUCCAUGCCGUAGCAGGGGUCAAUACUUCAUUUCUCUUUAUGGCUGAAUAAUACUUUAUGCAGCUUUCAUGGUGGCUCAGCAGGUUCAGAACCCGACACAGUGUCCAUGAGGAUGUGGGUUCGAUCCCUGUCCUUGCUCAGUGGGUGAAGGAUCCAGUGUUGCCUUAAGCUGCAGUGUAGGUCUCAGACGUCGCUCGGAUCCCACCCGACUGUGGCUGUGGUGGAGGCCAGCAGCUGCAGCUCUGAUUCGACUCUUAGCCUGGGAACGUCCAUAUGCUGCAGGUGUGGCAGUAAAAAGAAAAAAAUUGAUUUUGGGGGGGCUAUACCACAUUCUAUUGGUGCACAUUUGGGUUGUUUCCACCUUUUGGCUGUUAUGAAUAAUGAUGCUGGGAAGAUUAACGACAAGAUUUAUCGGAACAUAUGUUUUCAGAUCUUUAUUGGGUCAUAUGGCUGCUCUGUGUUUAACUUUUUGAGGAAUCACGAUAGCGCUCUCUAUAGUGGCUGCCCGGUUCUACAACCUCGCCAAAAAAUGCCUAAGCGUUCCAACUUCUUGUUUUUGCCAACGUUUAUUUUAUUUUCCAUUUAAAAAAGUAUAGUGGGUCUAAGUGGUAUCUCAGUGUGGUUUUGAUUUGCAUUUCCCUAAGACUUAGGAUGUUAUAUAUCUUCAUGUACUGAUCGGCCAGUCGAGUGUCGUCUUUGGAGAAAUGUCAAUUCGUCGUCUUUGCCCCCUUUUAAAUUGAGUCAUUUGCCUUUUUGUUGUUGAAUUGUAAGAGUUUCUAUAUAUUCUGAGUAUUAGAUCCUUAUCAGAUACAUGAUUUGCCUUUAUAUUUAUUUGCAAUUUAUAUUUUCUCCCACUCUUUGUUGUUGUUGUUGUUUUUUUCCCUUCUUGGUAUUGCCCUGCAAUUCAUAAAAGUUUUUAGUUUUGAUUAAGUCCAAUUCGGCAGAAUAUAUUUUUGACAACAGGUGCCCUCCUCAUUCAUGAGAAGACUCAGAUUAAACAUAAGACAAAACAAAACUUUUAAAGGCUAAACCUUAAAGAGAAAACUCUUCUGUAAUGUGAGAGAGUGACUCUAUCAAAUGCAGAUUAUCAGAGAGUGUGUCAAGUUAUUGCUGGUGUACACGAAACGGAAACAGCUAUAGCUACAUUGACCUUUCCCUGCAAGAAGUCCUGACUUAUUCAGGACGUGCUGAAUGAGAUCUUUUAUCUCAAGAUGACAGUAGUUGUUUCUUUAAAAAUUAUCGUUAUCAAAUUCAUCUACCAAGAAAUUUCAAAUAGUCUCCUCUGUUUAAAUAGCAUUAAGGAUCUGCCUUAAACCAACAACAACCAGGAAGAUGAAAGAAAACAUUGACAGGGUGUUUCUAACCUAGCAGUUUCUAACUGCAGCCACACACAGGCUGUGCAGUCAGAGGCCAUGUUCAGAAAGUUCCUGGAGAAAGGUCUUGGAGUCAGUGAGAAGAGAAUCUAAAUUAUUUCAAAGCCAACAUUACUGAAAACUAGUAUUAAUAAAAGAGGACAAACCUAAGUGGACAUUCUUGAGUGUACAGGCUUUGUCUUUUGUUUCACAUUGGCAGUUUUUAGGUGAUUCACGUAUGGGCUAAAAGCCAUGGAACCGGGGUUUGAACCAGCUCUUCAUUUUAUUUAAUUAUGUGGUGACUGCGGAAGAAGACUUACGGUGAACACUCAUGUACACAUCCCUGCUUCUGUGCAUCACAAGCCUUGGACCAGAUUCUGACAUCUGCCAUUUUUUGGAAUAUCCUAUUGGGAAAACCACUAAGUUGCUGAGUGUCCACACGUGGAGUUCUUGCGUGACCCGCACACGUGGCUGUCAUCCUGCACAGCCCCGAAGGGUCCUGGGGGAGCUCAGUUUCCUCCUCUGCAGGUGACACCUUCAUCCCCCAGUUAUGGUAGGAAGGUGGAAUGAUACGUGUGAAAAUGGAAAGGCAUUUUGAAGGUUUAGCAUGUGUUUCUGUUGUUUAUGUAGCGUCUACAAUACACCAGGUAUUGUCCCGAGGCUUAAAAAGUGCUAAAAAAUUAAGUCCUCAAACAACCCUCUGGGGAGGUACUGUUAUUUCUCCCAUUUCAUAAGUGAGGAAAGUGAAGCACGGGGAUAUUCUCUAACUUGCCCAAGAUCAUUGAGCGUUUAAGGGGUAGAGUUAGAUUUUGAAGCCAGAUAGUCUGGCUCCAGAGUCUGUAUUCUUACGACUACAUCGUCUUACUUAUAUUUAAAAUCUUGAGAUUUCGGUUGGAAAUUGGAGCCUGUGUAUUCAUUGAUUCCAUCAAUAUUUAUUGAGUAUCUAUUAUUUGCCAGACUUCUCUUGAAACACUGGAAGGUCCAGGGAUGCUGGGGCUGCGGUACUGCUGUCUCAUGGCAACAUUCGGCAGGAGUCCAGCCGUUGCUGCCAUUUUUGAUGGGGUCACCUGACUUGGCUUGAUUCAUUCACCUGUUUGCCUGUCCACAUUCUGUAAUCAAUCACAUUUGUUACUGUUAACAGGAGAGCUAGGCAAGGAAAAUAGAUCACAACCAAAGUAGUAAGCCGGAAGGUGAAAAUAAACAUAGAAAAUAAACAUUAUGGCUUGAAUUGAGUUUUGCAGACUUUUCUUGCUGCUGUCCUUAAGCACAGAUCUAUGAACCAGAGAAAUUUUGGUGGGUACCAACUGAGUGCUUGACCUGUCGAACAAACACUUUAAAGAUUUGGAAGGUGAAAAUCAGAAGGGAUUAAUAGAUGCAAACUAUUGCAUUUGGAGGGAUAAGCAUGAGAUCCUGCUGCAUAGCACAGGAAACUAUAUCCAGUCAUUUAUGAUGGAACAUGAUGGAGGAUAAUGUGAGAAAAAGAAUGUAUACGUGUGUGUGUGUGUGAGAGAGAGAGAGAGAGAGACUGGGUCACUUUGCUGUCCAGUAGAAAGUGACAGAACAUUGUAAA
rnacentral:lncRNA from 1 species